rnacentral:lncRNA from 1 species
UAUGAUUAUAUAUAACAUUUUAAUAAAUUCUCUUUUUAGUAAUGAGAAAUAUUUGCCAAUUAAAAGUUAUUAAAUUGCAGGAAUUAAAUGGAUGCGUGAGAAUUCUGGCUGACCGUGAAUUGGUAAGUAUACACAUAUCUAAUUUUAUUUUUAAAUUUAUUCUCUAUAUAACGUUCGGCAGUUGGACAAAUAACAAAAUCAUAUUUCGUCCUCUUUAUUUCUUUUCCUUUCCGACUAUUUUAAUUCAUCUAUAAUUUUUGAAAAUAAUUCAGAACUCGAUAGGAAAAUUUAUUAUUGAGGCUUUAUUACUGGAUUUUACUGAAACUGUUCACAUUAUAUCCAAAAUUUAAAAAUUAUCUAAUAGUAAUUUGGUUGUUUCUUAAGUUCGUGUGGUCCGGAUGAAACUACACAUCUUUCCCUUACAAAGCAGAGAUUCUUAACCAGUUUUGUUCCAUGGACUCUGUUAGAUGAAGGCCACCGACCCCUUUUCAGAAUAAUACUUUUAAAUGCACAAAAUAAAAUUAGUUAUAUAAAAAUACAGUUAACAAGAUAAAAAAAGAAAAUGCUGUAAUAUAUGUUCUUUCUCAGCACAUCGAAUAAUCAUAAAAUACAUUUAAUAUAUAGGAAAGUUUACGUUACAUUAAGACAUGCUAAUGCGAAGCAGG